GUGCCAGCCGCCGCGGUAAUACAGAGGGUGCAAGCGUUAAUCGGAAUUACUGGGCGUAAAGCGUGCGUAGACGGUUAUGUAAGUCGGGUGUGAAAGCCCCGGGCUCAACCUGGGAAUUGCAUUCGAGACUGGAUAGCUAGGGUACGGAAGAGGGAAGCGGAAUUUCAGGUGUAGCGGUGAAAUGCGUAGAUAUCUGAAGGAACACCAGUGGCGAAAGCGGCUUCCUGGUCCAGUACCGACGUUCAGGCACGAAAGCGUGGGGAGCAAACAGGAUUAGAUACCCCAGUAGUCC
rnacentral:rRNA from 1 species